AAGUCGUAACAAGGUUUCCGUAGGUGAACCUGCGGAAGGAACAUUAACACGUACCCAACGUAAAUGAUCAUUAACACGUAUCCAACGUAAAAAACCCCCCUGUGAACAUUCAAACCUGCUCUCGUAGCCCAGUGCGAUCCAGCAAUCCCGGUAAAUCAUUGUCGAACAGUAUUGAUUCGGGACUUCUGACAAAUGAGAAGUUACAGUUACGAUUGAGCGGAGAUAGCUGCAUGGCAUCCCGAAGCAGUCAGUGUCUGAAAGUGUCAUUGAUUGUCUAAGGAUCUCGCCUCAACGAUUGCCAGAGGUCGCUCACCGACCGGCAGACAUGCAACCGGGUCCCCACGCCCCUUUACAACCCCAUUACCUCUGUGAGUCGCGGGAAACUAGCGGCUAAAAAACCUCGAACAACUGUUAACAAUGGAUAUCUUGGUUCUC
rnacentral:misc_RNA from 1 species